CUUCACCCACAGAAUCACCAGAGAGAAAUACCCAAUCCUUGUUCAUAAAUCUGCAAGAUAAGAAAACAUAACUAUAUGCUAAUCUUAGAACCAAAUUGUGUGAUCCAUUGAAAAAAAAAACAGAAAGAAUGAAAAGAGUGUGGUGAUCCAACAACUGCAUGGAAUUAAAGAAGAGCAAACCUGUAAUUCUCUUCAAAUUUAUGAGCAAGCAAUGGCUUUUGUAUCAUCUUCUCUUCCUGCAAAAUUGUUUCAGUUUUUUCUUUUCAGGUUCUUAGUUUGUGUCAUUCUAUAUAUCUCUCAUCCAGCAAAACUGCUUCUUUUUGCACGAUUAGGUGUUUCUUUUCCUCCUCAACCC
rnacentral:lncRNA from 1 species